AAUGAACGCUGGCGGCGUGCCUAACACAUGCAAGUCGAGCGGUAAGGCCCCUUCGGGGGUACACGAGCGGCGAACGGGUGAGUAACGCGUGGGUAACCUACCCAGAAGUGGGGGAUAGCCCCGGGAAACCGGGGGUAAUACCGCAUGUACCACAGCCAACGCGAGUCGGUUGUGGAAAAGGCGGGGAUCCUUCGGGACCUGUCGCUUCUGGAUGGGCCCGCGUCCGAUUAGCUUGUUGGUGGGGUAACGGCCUACCAAGGCUGCGAUCGGUAGCCGGCCUGAGAGGGUGAACGGCCACAUUGGGACUGAGACACGGCCCAGACUCCUACGGGAGGCAGCAGUGGGGAAUUUUGGGCAAUGGGCGCAAGCCUGACCCAGCGACGCCGCGUGGAGGAUGAAGGCCUUCGGGUUGUAAACUCCUGUCAGGUGGGAAGAAAUGCCCGUCGGUGAAUAGCUGACGGGAGUUGACGGUACCACCAAAGGAAGCCCCGGCUAACUCCGUG
rnacentral:rRNA from 1 species